rnacentral:tRNA from 1 species
UCUUCCAGAAAUGGAGAUCCCAAGCCUUCUGGCGAUCUCUUAAAAUAAAGCCCGGUCUGUUUCAAUAAACAGGAUGUUUAGACAUAUGUUUAAAUUCUACGGUUCUUAAAGACCAUAAAUUUAAAAAAGGCUUUAUGAAGAAAGCUCUUUAUGCUUUUCCAGUGAUUUAAGAUGAUACCGGGGAAGGUUUUCCGGUUUAUCCCGGAGGGCUUGUAGCUCAGUUGGUUAGAGCGCGCGCUUGAUAAGCGUGAGGUCGGAGGUUCAAGUCCUCCCAGGCCCACCAAUUUAUGCUCGUUUUUUGCUUAUCCAAGAGUAUGAAGCUUAAGCGUAUUAAAGCCUCUUUUAAUCUUUGUUUAUUUUAAAGAUUUAAUUUUAUCAUUCAAAGAUUGUUUGUUAAAUUUAUUCUAUUAAGUUUGUCAAAGGGGGAGUUUGUCAAAGGAGGUUUUUAAAUCCCUUCAUUUUGAAAUUCCUUCAAGGUAUAGAGAAAUUUAAAUGAUGUAUAGAGAAAUUUAAAUGAUGCAAAUCAAAAUAGUACAAAUCAAAGUCGUAUAAAUGAUUCAAGUUGAUAAAUUUUCUUGAGGUUGAUUUGAGAGAGCAUUCUUUAGGGGCCGUAGCUCAGCUGGGAGAGCACCUGCUUUGCAAGCAGGGGCCCCCCGGGUUAUAA